rnacentral:rRNA from 1 species
CAGUCGCCACGGUAAUACAGAGGGUGCGAGCGUUAAUCGGAUUUACUGGGCGUAAAGCGUGCGUAGGCGGCUUCUUAAGUCGGAUGUGAAAUCCCUGAGCUUAACUUAGGAAUUGCAUUCGAUACUGGGAAGCUAGAGUAUGGGAGAGGAUGGUAGAAUUCCAGGUGUAGCGGUGAAAUGCGUAGAGAUCUGGAGGAAUACCGAUGGCGAAGGCAGCCAUCUGGCCUAAUACUGACGCUGAGGUACGAAAGCAUGGGGAGCAAACAGGAUUAGAUACCCGGGUAGUCCCUGUCUCUUAUAC